rnacentral:rRNA from 1 species
UGGGCAACCUGCCCUCAGCUCUGGGAUAACUCCAAGAAAUUGGGGCUAAUACCGGAUAUGACUGCUGACCGCAUGGUCUGGUGGUGGAAAGAUUUAUCGGCUGGGGAUGGGCCCGCGGCCUAUCAGCUUGUUGGCGGGGUAGUGGCCUACCAAGGCGACGACGGGUAGCCGGCCUGAGAGGGCGACCGGCCACACUGGGACUGAGACACGGCCCAGACUCCUACGGGA